CUACCACCAGCACUUAUUAGGGGGACUCCAGACAGCGGCCAGAAAGCCCACUAAUUUGAGUAAGUCUCUUCAAGCCUUUACAGAUUCUCCAGAGCGAGAUCCAGGCUGCAAUACAACAGGCUCGAGAAAAACCCUUUGCGACGUUCCAGCCCCACGGUUUCAAGCCAGGAGACCCGGUCCUGAUAUGCUUGGUUUGCUUGCACCGAGGACUUGACUAAAUACAUUCCCAAAUCAG